GCUGAUGCCAGACAUCUGCAGGUGAUCAUCUAACGAUCUCUUUUGCCACCACACAGUAUGCACACAUCUGCUAUUCUUUCAAAAAAACAUUAUCCACCGUCUACCACAUGCCAGAGACUUUUCUCGACCCAGAGAUACAGCAAUCACAAGUCAGAGGCAGUCCCUGCUCUCAUUCAGCUUGGUUCUAAUGGAUGAGACAGAUGCAUGAAAACUAAAUUUUUAGUAGACUUUCAAGCAUUUCAGUACUUUGCUGGAAAAUAAAAGCAGCAAGAAGACAGAUAUUGAUAGGAAGGACACGUUCAAGUCUGGUGACAAUAAGCAGACAUGAGCUCCUAUUGGUAAAAGAGCGUUUAAGAAUAGAAAUAAGUAUAAUCAGUGCCCCUAACUUUGGAGACAAACUGAAGUACUGAAUGUACUUCUAUUUUUGACUUUUUCCUUAGCAUGGUGAGUUGUUUGGGAAAUGAUUCAAUAGUUAUUUGUAGUUCCUAAAUUCUCAACAGCAGUUGCCUCCUGAUAUGUGUCACUAUAUAUUCUGAGUUGACAUCUGCUGUCUGAAUCACCAAAAUAGUGCCUUGUUUUAAAAUUUAUCCACUAUUGGCUUAUGUUUUAUCUUACUCGAGGCCAUGUUAUCACUACAUGUGACAUCUCUGUAUAUGUGUUUGUGAAACUGGGAUGAAGUUGGCAAAACUUGAGAUGGAGGAAACUCUGAAACAUGUUUUUGCAUUAGGAGAACAGGAGGCAUAAGCAUGUUUGGAAUAGAGAGAACAGAGAAGGCGAAGCGAUGUUGGAGAAGGGAAAGUAAAAUGCAAGUCGGGAGCUGAAAUGUCACUGAGGCAACAACCUUGGGAGUUCAGACGGCCAUCGACUUUUAUCAUGGCGUUUGGUCUCCAGCAAAUAGAUUAAAGUCUCCCUCGGGAGUAAAGCUUUCCCUUGGUAGAGGAGAUCAGUUUGUUGAUGGUGAUUUUGAUGACAAUAUUCGUGAUGACAUUUUAUGUGAAGAAUGUUUCUCCAAAUGGGACUUGACUGGACCAACUUUUAUGCCAAUAGAGAGAUCAACACGCUGACCGACACUUUAGAUAUUGACAUGUCUAAGAGAGAAAUAAUUGACAUAACUAAGUAAUUGUGAAGUGUAACAUAUUAAUCUCCGGAGUUUUGCAGAACCAAAAAUUGUGUAGAUGAAGAAAGAAAAUCACAGAGUAGAUGGUCACGAUGAUGAAACAAUAUAGUUAGCGUACAUUUAAUGUUGCACAACUGCCGUCUUAUUUUUAAGAACUCAAAUAAAUGUUAAGCCUUUUGAUAAUUCUCCAUCUUACGAGUUCUCCAUUUCCUCUGUGGCCAGAUCAACCAGUCCCAGGAGAUCCUCAGCAGAUAAAGACAGGAUUUUUUUUUUUUUUUCUUUGCAGCCCUCUAUCCCCACAUUUUCAGUUUAUUCUGGGCUUCCCAGAUCCUUGUUGAUAUUUCAUAAUAGAAAAUCCUAUUGAUCAUUCAGAUGUCUUUGCUAAAGAGCUGAUAUAGUUCAGAUGAGUCAGUAAUUGACCCACGUUACUGAAAACGUAAGCCAAAGAGCUGAGACUCAUCCUGACUCAUCGGAACCAGAGACAGGUAUUCUUUUUACCCUACAACACCAUUCCAUGGUGCAAAGAGGAAGCCGGAGGGAUGUUCCAGCCUGGUCACCCUUGGCUGGGCUGUGCAGGGAGGCGGGAGGACACGGGUCUGGGAGUCAGGCAGCCCGGGCAUCCAGUGCUGGCAUUGCCUUGGCUUUGUGAAUCUGGUAAAGAUUCUCACACUACUGGGCAUCUGUUCUCCCCAGACGACCUUAGAGGCUCUUUCAAAAGUUCACAUCCCUAUGUGGCGCUCAAUUCCUCUGUGUGGCACUAGAGGCCAAAGCAAAUAAUUUGACUCUUUCUUGACCUCAUCGCCAAAGAGUCUUGUCAUAAUAAAGUGGAACACUUUGAUUGUCUGACUUUGGGAUCUGAUAAUGAAAUUGUAGGGGAAAGUGUUACUGUUUUCCAACCCUCAUACACGGAUCUGUUGCUUUUUAUAUCCCCUGCCUUCUCUAUGUGUGCCUGUUCUGGUCCUCUCUUGAUUUGGGGGCAUAUAUAUGUGGGGAAUAGGGUGAGCAUUUCUGCAGAAGCAAAAUAGGCCCUCUGUGUUUCAGCAGAUUUUUGUCUUGAUGGUUUCCUGAGGGUUUGUGAAGACUGGGGAUUUUCCUCCCAUCAGCAUGUACUGAAGAAUGCCUACUAUGUACUGGCUCUGUGUUAGUCUCUAGGAACCGGGAGAAAUCUGGACAUAGAGAGCCACUCCUAUCUACACAUGAAAAUGAUCAUACUUUGGAGAGUCUCAAGGUUUGUUACCCUCUACCUGUUUUCUUUUGGGAUUGAACAAGUUGAUGCAAACCAACGUCAUGAACGAACUUGAUUACCUUUAGGGAGAAAAUGCCUCACGUCUUGGGUUUUCGCUACAAAUUUUAAGACUGAAUAGCUGUUUUCAGAACGACAAGUUUGGCAGCCCACUUAUAAGAUGCAAAAGGAAGAAACACUAGAGAUACCUCUAUCAUUUUGAAGUAUGCGGAGCUAUUUUUCCAAAGUCGGCUUCGCUGGCAGAGCAAGUCUGUUAAUAACCUUGCAGUACUCCCUGUGUUGAAAUAACACAAAUUAGCAUUUAACCCGGGAGGAAGAACACACAAAGUUAUUUAACAUUUACAUAAAAUUAUGGAGUAAACUCCAAAACAGGUCGCCUCUGAAAUGUAUAAUUACACUCAGCAGUCCCGUCAGCAUACAUAGAAACAAUUUUAUUUCCAAUCAUCUUCGGCUUUUAUUCACUCAGGAAUGUAUCAUUAAAAUUUCCACAGAACAAUGAACCUUAAUAGGUGCUAAUGCAAUUGUGAAUUAUGGUAAUUGUUACCUAAAUUAAUCUCUGUACUUUCCAUUCCUUAUUGCCCUAUGCAUAAGGAGUGUGAAAAAGAUAAUGUUGAAACUGACAUUUGUAUAAAUGGUGUAAAAGGGUUAUCUUAUUUGAUAAAAAAUUUCACAAGAACUCGCUACUUUGUAAAGUGGUUGACUC
rnacentral:lncRNA from 1 species